rnacentral:tRNA from 1 species
GCCGGUGUGGCGGAAUUGGCAGACGCGCACGACUCAAAAUCGUGUGGGUUUAUCCCGUGUCGGUUCGACCCCGACCACCGGUACCA